rfam:Oryza glumipatula chromosome 7, whole genome shotgun sequence.
GUUAAAUGUAACCAUGAGUUUCCGCACCCAACUUUGAUCAUCCGUCUUAUUUGAAUUUUUGUUAUAAUUAAUAUUUUUGUUGUUAUGAUAUGAUAAAACAUGAAUAAUACUUUAUUCGUGACUUAUGUUUUUAAUUUUUUUUCAAAAAAAUUUUAAAUAAGACGGACAAUCAAAGUUAGGCACGAAAAAUCAUAGCUACAUUUAAA